AUGCAAUAUGUCAAUAAUGAUUAGCAAUAAUCAUCAAUUCACCUCGAAGAUGUGUUAAAAUUUCCUUUAAUUAAUAAGUAAGUACUUAAGUACCUACAAGUUUAAAACUUUGCAAAACACCACAACCACUGAUGUUAAUAAUUUCCUUAGAUGUUCAUGAAUAUCACCAUCAGAUAGCUGAACCGUAAGGGCAAACAAUAAUAAAGGAGUUGUACAAACCUGACGUUACUCUCGUCCUGGCUACUCCGUGGUGUGUUUCUAAGUCCAUUGAAAAGUUUGUUGAAAAGAGCCAUAACAUGAAACCUACACUAUUCACAUUCAUGCAUAGUUGAAAAAGCACGAGUUUCACAUCGUACCUUGCCAGAGUGAAAACAAUAAAUAAAAAUCACGUGCGGUACAGUCAUAUGAUACAGUUGUAGCAUCUUUGUCUGAUGGAUUAUUCAGGCCAGUCUCGCUCUAGGACUCCGGCCUGGUCCGUUGACGAAGUGGGGACUGUUUUUCACAUGGGGGGCCGGCCCGUUUUAGCCUACGCAAAAAUUAGCAAUAUCAAUCGGGUCAUAUGAGCGUGUCGCACAUAGUUUUUGCGUAACUGGAACAUGAGAUGAGAUCGUCUAUAAUUAUUUAGUUCACUGCUUAAACAUAGUUUUCGCUCUUUUGGCUAUUUCCAUAGCCAAUUAUUUCUUCGCACACAUUAUAGAUUGUGCUGCAUAUUUUCACUCAUUCUCAUUUUAAUUUUUCAUCACUUUGGCUCACCGUGGACGUUUCACCGAAAUCAGUUUAUUUAAUAACAAUUUACUAGUUUAGAAUUUAAGCAUAAUUUCUAAAAAAUUUACAAAAAUCUGACACUGCAUGUGUUUACAUCGAGUAAUUGACGCAAUGUUGCCGGCGAUUGUCUGAAAAAUUGCAUUUUGCAUCUCAUCAUCGCUCAGAUAAAUUUAAUCGCUUCAUAGAAAUUUUCUUCAUUAUUUACGCGUAUUAUCACCUUGGAUGUUUUAUAUAUACCCGCAAAAAAUGCGUUUUGGGGCUUAGCAUUGUUGAAAAUAAAAUUUUCAAACAAGGCCAUUUACUAUAAACUGUUAAAAGGAAAUAAAGACGGCAAGACUGCAGACUUUGACAAACAUGUUUUCUGUCAAACGGUAGUUUAAAUUAUAAUGAAAUGAUAAUGUUCAAUAUGCAGAUAAACGUUUCUUUUUCGGGACGACUCCGAAAUACUUGAUAAGAAAUAUUCAAACUGAAGAGAUGGCUAAUGAUUACGAAUAUUUUUACUCCUACUUUCUGUAUCUGAGCAUAACCCGGGUAAACAUUUAUGUUAGAAUGAGUACCUUUACAAUGUCCCUUUGCCUGGAACGUCUUGUGAUUAUCAUAUUUUAUGGAUUUUACACAAAAUCAGUGUCCUUUUACAGACCUAGACAGUACAUCGUCCCGAAGGCGCCCAAAUACCUAGUAUGUAGUUAAAUUUCCUGAAAUACAUUUCCGGGUUAUCAAAUACAAUCUAUAGACUUUGAACUUUCUUGUUUUAUCGGAUUCAAGUAAUUUAUGUAACACAGAAUAUUUAACGAGGAUGUAAACGCUAAAUACAAUGUAGUUAAAUAAAGCCAAUGAACUGUAUACUAAAGUACCUGGUACCUUGUAUACAGUUCACUGAAUAAAGCUAACAAUUCGUUUCUAUGUUGUCGGUAUUCUGUGGAAAGGUAUUCUUUGGCGGCAUCUGCCAUAAUCCAUUCUAACCUCUUUAAAUCUUGGUUUGUCCUGGCUGCAGUUGAAUAGUAUUUAUUAUUACGAUGAUUAGAAUAAUGCAGUAAAAUGAAUAUUUAAUUUUUAUUCUCCAAUGUAGGGCACAUAAUAUUAACUUUCUUCACUGAAUGUUUGGGACGUUCCUGGAGACAAAUUUUUUACAAAUGACUCGAAGGCCGAGUUUCAACACAUUUGAAUUGAAGAAUCUGCAUGUCGUGAUCUCCAGAAGAAAAAGCAUAGAAUGUACAAAAAACGAUCCGCUGCAAAGGAACAUACAUGAUCCAGCUAAAAUAAGCGCCCACGUUCACCAUCGAGGAACAAAAGAAGAAAUAAUGAAGUUYCAGGUUAAUGUUGCAGUUCAACAUAUAUUCAAUUGUUUUAAAAAUCAUUAUUUAACUUGCUAUAAUGUCAAAUCAAUAUUUACUAAAACUAAAACAAACUGUUUGAAAAUCUGCAUAUUGUAUUUGCUUCCGUAGAAACUUGAGUAUAAAAUGAUAUAGAGAAUCCGCAUCAAGAAGGUAUGAAGAAAAUGAGAAGAAAGAAGAAACAACGUCGCAAAGAAGAUCAUCAGAAGAAUCGGUCCAUAAAAGUAGCAUUACAUCGAAUUCAAGGUUUAAAAAUCCAUUAGUUAAAAGUAUGCUUCGUUUUAAGGCUUACCCGCAAAACUAUUGUUUGCCAACAUACAAGUGAAUCAAACGGAGCCAAGUUUGCGGACAGAUAUUUAUUCUGAACGUAUAAUCAGCAGCAACAUUGAAUGGCCAAGAAAUCCACAAAUAAUGACUCGUUGCACUACAAGUCAAAGCUUGAGGACCGAUGACAAGCGGCGAUCGAAUAGCGAAGAUCGCAACUGUAGAGACCGACGAAAACGACGAGAUUCUUCCCAUCAUCGACAUAGAAGAUCAAGAUCCAGAUCAGAUUCCCGUUCCAGAAGUCGGAUCUACAGACACUCAAAGGCCUAUAGAGCACGUUCAAUUUCUCCCAGGCGCUCGGCUGACAUGUCCAGGAAAAGACAUCGGCAUUAACAGAAUGAUCAGAAUGAAGUAAAUCAUUUACAAACAUUAUUGUAAGUUUGAAGUUUCUGUGAACAAAACUUAUCCGUUUAUUCUACUUGUUUUAUCCAUCCAAUGUUUUAUGCAAUUGGUAUUUAAUCGCAAGUUUCACAUUUAUGCUGAUGCGCCUCAAAUUGUAAACAGUAAUAAUUUAAAGAGAUUAAAGUUAGACCCUCAGAACAAUAUAUGUAUAAACAAAUAUUAUCAAGUGAAAAUAUGUAAAUCCAGUGAUUGUUGAAAGAAAACUUCAGUUGUUUCUCAACAUUUCCAUUAGAACGAAAGUUUCGUUACUCACAAAUUCUAAGUGAAUAAUUUAAAAAUAAGCACUUCAUUAUGCCAUUCAAUGUAA